GAAGAUGCUGCCACUUUGUCUCCAUUUUUCAAAGAAGCAGUGUCUUUCACCAUCAACAUUCCUAUUUGGGACAACUCUGGCCUUGUGAGGACAACUCUCAGCUGUUAGAAUGUUUGAUAUACAUGUAACUUUUGUUCACUUCAAAUUUUAUCCAUGGACUUUUCAGGAAGUACCAAAGACAACUCCUGCUAGCAAACUGGCUACCAAAGCUGCCACAGUUCCAGAAACUCCAGUUAGAGACUCAAAACCAAGUCCAAAGAAAACUGUUACUCUGAAAAAGGAUAAAAAAGAUGUUGAUAAGGAAACUCCAAUCAAAGGAACACCAAAGGUGUCAAAAUCAGAGGAAGUGGAUGAAGUUCCACCCUCAUCGGAAAAGAAAACAAUCUGGCUACUGUAGUUUUAUGGCAAGAGAUGGUCCUAGGACACUUGGUUUAAAGGAAAUCCCUCAGGCUAAGGCAAUGUGGAACAUCACAAAUACAUGAAGAUGGUCUGUUUUAGCUUGUCAGAACAAAACCAGGCAAUGAGACCAGCUAUGAACCACCAAGUGUGGAUAAGAAGACAAAGAAGAAGGAGAAACUGAACCAGUGGAGUCUCUCAGCCAGAGAAAAGAUCAGUUUGAAGGUGAUUUGUCACAACUGAGGGAAAGAUCUGCGUCAUCUCCAACAACACAAACACUAUCAUCAUCACCUGCACGGAAAGCUUUCUUUUUCAACAAAGAUCAAGAUGGGUCGUCGUUAAAGGAAGCUCUUCUGUCCGGUUCCCCAGGAGUUGGUAAAACAACAACAGCAACACUGGUUUGUGAAGAGCUUGGUUUUACGUACAUUGAAAUGAAUGCCAGUGACACACGGAGCAAAAAGACCUUGGAAGAACACAUUUCUCAGUCACUGAGCAAUAAAACCAUGGAUGGCCUUCUGACAGGUUGUCAAAUUUCUGUAACAUUUGGAAUGACUUUGAUAUUAUUAAAGAUGCUUCAUUCA